rnacentral:lncRNA from 1 species
CCAUUUGAUCCCUCUAUCAGCCAAAAAAUUGGAAUAGAAUGCAUCCUAGGGGGAUUUUACCAUGAAUCCAUUGAUUCUAUAUGACGUAUUUCCAACCCUUUACCACUUUGAUUCGGACAUGGGUCGAGAGUACUUUUUUUUUACUUCAAAAAUGGGAGUGCUGGAUCAUACAUCGAUCUAUUUUCUAUGUAUAUACAGAUAGAUUGACCUAUAACCUAUAAGAGUCACGCCUAAUAUCUUUCUAUACAUAGUAAUGGUAUCAACUAACUCAUAUAGC